UCCUGGUUAACCCAGGCAGUCUCAUUAGAGUUCCCACCAUUACGUGUUGGCAACUAAUGAUAAGGGUUGCGCUCGUUGCGGGACUUAACCCAACACCUCACGGCACGAGCUGACGACAGCCAUGCAGCACCUGUGCAGCGGCCCCGAAGGGCUUUAACAUUUCUGCUAAAUUCCACUGCAUGUCAAGUCUGGGUAAGGUUCUUCGCGUUGCAUCGAAUUAAACCACAUGCUCCACUGCUUGUGCGGGUCCCCGUCAAUUCUUUUGAGUUUCACCCUUGCGAGCGUACUCCCCAGGCGGUAUACUUAUCGCGUUAGCUUCGGCACAACCAGGGUUGAUUCCGGUUACACCAAGUAUACAUUGUUUACGGCAAGGACUAC
rnacentral:misc_RNA from 1 species